rnacentral:rRNA from 1 species
GUCCACCCCGUAAAACGUUGGGAACUAGUUGUGGGGACCAUUCCACGGUUUCCGUGACGCAGCUAACGCAUUAAGUUCCCCGCCUGGGGAGUACGGCCGCAAGGCUAAAACUCAAAGGAAUUGACGGGGACCCGCACAAGCGGCGGAGCAUGCGGAUUAAUUCGAUGCAACGCGAAGAACCUUACCAAGGCUUGACAUAUACGAGAACGGGCCAGAAAUGGUCAACUCUUUGGACACUCGUAAACAGGUGGUGCAUGGUUGUCGU